rnacentral:rRNA from 1 species
CGCGUAGGUGGUUUGUUAAGUUGGAUGUGAAAGCCCCGGGCUCAACCUGGGAACUGCAUCCAAAACUGGCAAGCUAGAGUACGGUAGAGGGGGAUGGAAUUCCGCGUGUAGCAGUGAAAUGCGUAGAUAUGCGGAGGAACACCGAUGGCGAAGGCAAUCCCCUGGGCCUGCACUGACGCUCAUGCACGAAAGCGUGGGAGCAAACA